rnacentral:tRNA from 1 species
GUAGAUAUGGCGAAAUGGUCAACGCAUCGGGUUGUGGCUCCGACAUGUGCGGGUUCGAUUCCCGUUAUCUACCCCA